rnacentral:lncRNA from 1 species
AGCAUUAGGGGAGCCCACGGCUACAAAAACAAGUGAGUGAGAAGAGGUGGGAGGAAGAGAAACUACGCCACCUCCCCUGCAGCCGAGUGCACGCAGCAGCCUGGCGUGACAAGUGGGCGACGCCGGGGGGCAGGGAGCCGGGGUCCUUGGCCCUGGCCGGGGACCCCACCGCCCACCGCGCGGAGGACAACUUUUAGCCGGCAGCCCAGACCAGCGCGGCACCUGUCUCCGGAGUCUCCACCGCUCCUCCCGAUUCAUCCCAGGGAAAUUCUCAAGAAUACGCUCUACAAAUCUACGUGCGCAUCAUUUUCACCUCGCGUCGCGCCCGGGAGGAAGGAACGAGGCAAGGAGCUAAAGCAGCGUGCGUUCAGCCCUGGGGCAUUUUAUUAAUGCUUUUACGAGUUAGAAGAGUUGGGAUAAUUUGCCAUCUGGAGUUUCUCUGCCUUGCUGAUCUGAGCUCAGACCUGCCAAUUUACCAGAGAUAAUUGAUAACACCCUGUAACAGCUGAGAGGAAAAUGGAAGAAACGGAGAUACUUUUAGUGAAGCAGAAUAAACCACUGAACAGUCUGUUUCAUCUUCAUAAAAACGCUGCUUUCAGUGCACUGGAUUUAUUUUACAACCCACUAAUGGAUUACCCUACAGUUUGAAAAACAUUGCGUUAGACCAGUUUGACUGUUGUCAAGAACCAAAAAAGGAAAAAUGAGGAAGCUGUGAGUACCAGUGGAAGGAACGAGCCAGGAAGAGGGACUGGAACCAUCUCAGAAGCCAUGCCCCUCAGGCUGGAACUUGCCCUGUCUCCUCGCAGAUGAGGUAGGAGGCUCAGCACGGGCUGGUGGGAGCAGCCCACAGCAGCAGUGAGGGUCAGUGGGCCUGUGAGUUAAGAAGAAGGUGGCACAGAGCGAGGGUCUCUGGAUCCUGAC